rnacentral:lncRNA from 1 species
UGGCAUUUCAGCUGGUUUGUUUAAUUGGCCUUGUGAUGAAAUACACGAUAUCGAUGGAUUGAGCCUUGGCCAAUCAGUAUAGUAAUAUAAUUAGGUUUACAUGCAAAACGCUAAUAUGGCUGUCUACUGAUUGCUCUUCGCAGACAUUUUGGACGAUCAUUUUGCCACACUCGUUUUGAAUGAAUUCUUCCUGUUCUUUCAAAACCAGCACGCAAACUCUUAUAUUGCAAAGGUAAUUUACUUAAAAAUUAUGAAAGUUACUAGUCUACAAUCUUUGACAAUACAGAUUGGGACAAUCUAGUCUUCACAUGCAUUCGUACCACUUACUGAUACAUUUUUCCACCCUCCUUCCCCCCACUCGUUUCAAUGUUGGCGCCUCGCAACCAGAGUACGUAAAUGCCCAAUUCCACGACGGCGACAUUCUUCGCAAGAAAUUGCACAUGAGCGAUUCCAUUGAAUUUCCCCACUACUCACUGGUAAAGCGAAUUUUUUUCUCCCGAAGCCUUAAUUUAUCUUUACUGCGCAUGUGCACCUAAUUCAUUGCGCCGAAGAAAGAGCACGUGGAAUCAGGCCUUGAGGUUUUUUGAGGUAAAUUAAUGAUUAAAUGAAUUGCUAAUUACAUUGAAAUAAUCAAUCUCGAACGGUCGCGGUGCCAUGCAGUGUAAGCAAAGACGAUAACAAGACAGCUGCGGAUUGACAGAGAUACAACUACCUGAAAAAUAUAGGCAGAACUUCGACGUUAGGGAUGUUACUGUCUCUAUAUUACAUUGAAUUUAUAUUCAAAUUUCGUAUGCAAGUGAAAUAAUUACAAUCCAAUGUACUGCACAACCAUUCUCGUAUAGUUCUAUAAAUAAUGUCCGAUCAUGUCCAACCAAAACGUGGGUUGGUGUGACAAUAGUAUCAGGCCAAGUUUUCAGAAUUAUGUUGAAGGUGACAAUACGUAAAGGUUCACGGGGGCGUUGAUAUUUUCUGUAGUUAGUUGUUUAGCGCGUGGGGAUUAGGCAUGAUCAGGUAUUGCAAGCGUACACAGUCUGCACACAGGCUACACGUUUAACUACGCCAUAUAGUAACACCAUGCACAUGCAUGCAGGUUUAUGGCCGUAACCUAGUUAGCCAACGGCAUAUGUAUACCCUUGUUUACCUAUCUCGUCAACGGUGUAGGUAAGUUUAUAGGCUAUAGCUAUAAAUAUAAUACAGAGUGUAGGCAAGAACCACUGGAAUCAGCAGAAACAAGAGCAACAACUUUACUAUCCCAGCAAAU